GCCAGAGACAGAAUGAGAUAGAGAGACAGGAAGAGAGUGAAACAGUAGAGAGAGAAAGAGAAAAAGAAAGAGAGUUAGUAAGACAAAAUUUCCAACCUAAUACUGGCCGUGAGUAGCAGACUGACAUUUAAAGAAGAGAGAGAAAAAGUCAGACAGGCUGGUGUGAUAUGUGAUAUUUUUCAGCUGUUUCCCUCCAAAUGAACUCAGAGGACAGGCUCCGGACAGGAGGAAUCAGGGCACCAGGUCAGAGUGGACCAGAAGACCAGAACAGAGGUGAUUGGAACUGAGGUUACCAGGGCAGAGGGGACCAGGUCAGAGUGGACCAGAAGAACAAAACAGAGGAGAACUGAGGGCAGACUGGGACUGGAUCUGAAUAGGAAAACCACACAGAGCAACACCUGGACUUAGUUACAAUCACGUAGAGCAACACCUGGACUAAGCCUUUUAUAAUAACACAGAGCAACACCUG
ensembl:lncRNA